GGAAGGGUCCCACUGAGUGCAGCUGUGAACUGAGUGCCAGCAGCAGGACCUGCGUGCACGGCAUGCUGAUCCUGAGCCAUAUAAAGCUGCUGAGAGCAGUGUGAAGCCGUUGGGGAUGGGUGCAGCUGAAGGAAUUUUGCUUCCCAAUUACUGGCACCUGGAGAUGGAGGUGCCUGGCUGCAGCCGGUGAAGCUCAGGGCUGUGCUGUCUGCCUGCAAGCCCGUGCAAUACAACUGCUUGUAGGAGAGGUGUUCCAUUCUGUGGAUCACUUUUGUGGCCUUCCUCUGGAUGCACUCCAACAGGCCUGUUUCUCCUGCACUGAGGACUCCACAUCUGGACGCAGUGCUCCAGAUGCUGCCGUUCUUCCUUCGCUCUGUGCACAGCGCGCAGUUCUGCGGGGAAAUCCGCUCCAGCCGGAGAGCGCGAGCGAAACGUCGGAGGCGCUUCGGUGCUUUUUGGCGAGGCUGGAAAGGCCGCGUGUGUUUCAGGGACCGCGGAUGGGGAUGAGGCACGAUUUGCAGCGCGGGGGGGUCGUAGCCGGCAGCCCCGGGCGGUGCGAUGCGACCGCAUCCCCGCGCAACGUCCUCGGGCAUCGCGGCGGCCGGGACGGCCCUGGGACGCUGCACGGGGCCGGCGGUUCCUGGAAGUCUCUGCCCCCGGGCCUGGCUCGGGGCCGAGGGGUGUGGGACGGUUCGUGCAGCAGUUAAACAAAACACUGUAUCGCGGCACCGAAUGCCAUCUGCUCUCCGGAUGCUCCUUCGGGGAAGCGCCGCGUUUCCCCGCUCCCGGCGGCGCUUUUGACCGCUGCUCUGCGUCCGCACGGCACCGCGGAGCUGCGGCGCAGCGGCUGCGCCUCGGGCUCGGGGCAAACCGCAGCGAAGCGGCCGAUGGAGCUCCCUGUCGGUGCUGGGACGGGGCAAAUCCCAGCGCACCCCCAGCUACCCGGAGAGAGGGACGCGGUGCCAUUUCUUGCAGCAAGGAAUCCAAAAACCUCCCAGAAUAUAUUGCGAAUUUUUGUGGUUGUACUGGAACACUUUGUCCCAGUGUGAUGAAAGCAGUUUUCUUCUGUGGAGUUAAAAAUAAUUUGUAAUAGAGAGAAAUAGCUCUCUGGCCUGCAGUUCUCACCAUUCAUGUUGUUUCUCCAUUUCAUUUAAUUCUGAUUGUAUAAAUUGUUGGUUUUAAGGUGUGGGUGCUGAUUUCUGUGCUGGGCACUGCUGUGAGCUGCUGCUGGGGCAUGAGCUGCUCUGCUGCAGAUGGAUCCUUUCCUGCUGUGACUGUAGGCCAGCACUGCAGAGCUAAGCAUGAGAGCAAACACCUUCCUAUUUUAUCAUCCCGGGAUUGAUAGCAUUUUGAUUUUAUCAGAUAAGCAUUCACUGAAAGGCAGCUGUUCUGUAGGAAACUCUCUGGAAAGAAACCCUUGCUGCUGGGAGCUCCUCAGGCAGAUCCCUGCAGCCUAUGCAAUGGUUGUGUGACCGAGAGCCAAAUGUGUAUGGAGGGAAAGUGCAACUUCUCCUCAGCCUGCAGCUGGGGAACCGGGGUGGUCAGAGGGUGCAGAUCUCGCAAGCAGUGGUGUGAGCCCACAGCCAGCUCACCCUGGACAUGGCAUGCUUAGGGGGAGGAUUUUGGUGCUGGUGCUGCACUCCGAUCUGUGUCUUAUGAGCAGCAACUGAGGGAACUGGGGUGGUUCAGUCUGGAGCAGAGGAGGCUCAGGGACACCUCAUUGCUCUCUCCGUCUCCCUGAAAGGAGGCUGUAGUGAGGUGGGGUCGGCCUCUGUUCCUGCGUAACAGUGAUAGUAUGAGAAGUGAUGGCCUCGUUCCAGUGGAAGGUCAGGUUGGGUAUUAGGAACAAUUUCUUCUCCAAAGAGCGGUGGUGCACAGCGCAGGCUGCAGUUGAGCUGAUAGUCACCAUUCCCAGAGGUGCUCCAUAAUUGUGGAGAUGCGGCACUGAGGGACAUGGUGGUGGGUAGUGUUGGGGAUGCUCCCAAACUCAGUGAUUCUGGGAUUCUACAGUUGGCCAUCACUCAGGCAGUGCUCAGCACUCUAUGAUGCCAUAAGAAAUCUGCUCUGGCAGUAUGGCAACAACAUGAGGUGAGAGGAACCCCAUGCCUCGUGUCUGUGGGGGAGCCAGGGCAGCUGCCAUAGAGCUUCAGGACUGCGUUGUAUGGGGGACUGGAGGGAAAUAACUGAGUGUACACCAUGGUGUUAUCCCUUCAUCCUCCUCUGGCUGUGAUGGAAGCGCAGUGCUGCCAGCCCAUGUCACCACACUGCCUGCAGGGCCAGCAGACACAGCGACGUGUGUUGGGAUGGAAGUUGGUCACUCACAGCCCCGAAAGCAGAGCUGAUUAUGGUCAGGCAGUGCUGCAGUGCUCACUGAGCGAUGCGAUGGCAGAACACAGCCUGGUCGUGUUGGGAUUUUAACUCAGUGCCUUUGGUCCUGGCAGUCACGGCACGCAGCAUGCACCAGAAUUGCUUUUAUUUUGUAGCACUAAUGUUGCUAA